AUUACGAACCCUAACUACAUUUUAAUCCUAAUAUAUGCUAAAAUUAAUUUUAUUGAUAAAAUCAAAAUAAUUUAGAAAGAAAUAAAUUGCCUAAUAAUUAUUUUUAUUAUGAAAUAGGUCGUUUACAAUUUCUAAAUUAAUUUAUUCUAAAUGAUAGUAAAAUCUAAUUAAAACUCUAUUUUAAUUUUACGUUCUUUUUUAUAAUUUCGUUAAAGAAAAAGCUACAAAUAGAAAAAGAAGGGUUUCUAAAGAGUUUUAUAGGGGUGUCAGAAGCUCUCCACUCUUUAUGAAAGAAGUUCCAACGAAACAGGCCCAUAACAUGAAACGAGAAUUGGGAGUCACGUAGACCCUUUUUGCACGAGUAAUGAUACAGCCACAAACUCUUGUACAAACUUAUUUUGUACAAAUUGAUGUGGCAUGAUAAGAUUGGUUGAAUUAAAUAUCACUUGGCCCACAUGAUUUGUUUUUAUUAAUUUAUAUUUUCAUUCAACCAAUGAUAUCAUGCCACGUCAGUUUGUACAAAAUAAGUUUGUACAAGAGUUUGUGGUUGUAUCAUUACUCUUUUUGCACACACCCCAAGCUCAUGUAAUGUGUUGCGCGGUCUUCUAGCUAUGCACCAACUGGCUACUAUAAAAAAAAAAAAAAAAAGGUGGAGAAAGUAUGAGUAAAAAUUCAUAUUAUA
rnacentral:lncRNA from 1 species